rnacentral:rRNA from 1 species
UUUAUUCAAGGUUAGCCUUAAUAAAAUAGAGAUAAUCAUAAGCUUAGCUGGCCGGGAGGCAGAAGUUAAAUUUAUAUAAGGAAAUGUAAAUCUACCCUUAAUAGGCUAGGUUGCUUUGUAUAUUACUAUAUUAGUAAUUCAAGGCCUUAAUAGUAUUUAAGUGGUGGCACAGAAUCGGAGGCCCCGACUGUUUACUUAAAACACAGCUUUCUGCGACGAAUAAUAUCUUUGUAUAGAAAGCGAAUUUUGCCCAAUGCCAUUAAUAUAAGGUCGAUAAGCGCUUAGCGUAAUUAUUUGGCUGAAGUUCUGGUCAAGGCGGUCUUAUCUAUGAGGAUCCUAAGGUAGCAAAAUUAAUUGUCCAUUAAAUGUGGUCCUGACUGAAUAAAGUAACGAUGGUCUCGCUGUCUCUACAAAGUAUCUCAGUGAAAUUGAAUUAGCCGUGCAGAUGCGGUUUAACUUCGGGUAGACGGGAAGACCCUAUGC